CAGUCGCCGCGGGAAUACGUAGGUGGCAAGCGUUGUCCGGAAUUAUUGGGCGUAAAGGGCUCGCAGGCGGUUUCUUAAGUCUGAUGUGAAAGCCCCCGGCUCAACCGGGGAGGGUCAUUGGAAACUGGGAAACUUGAGUGCAGAAGAGGAGAGUGGAAUUCCACGUGUAGCGGUGAAAUGCGUAGAGAUGUGGAGGAACACCAGUGGCGAAGGCGACUCCCUGGUCUGUAACUGACGCUGAGGAGCGAAAGCGUGGGGAGCGAACAGGAUUAGAUACCCCAGUAGUCCCUGUCUCUUAUAC
rnacentral:rRNA from 1 species